rnacentral:misc_RNA from 1 species
GAGCACUUGAGACGCCAUUGAUAGAGUUGAGUGAAUGAUUGUGAUGUUAUUAGGACCGCUGUUGAAUCCUGUGAACGAUCCAUUAGCUAGUAGAACUGAAUUCGAGUUUACAGUUAAGGAAAUUGGAUCGUAACUGUAAAUCAGCUUUUUGUUAGGGUUUUUAGUGGAGAGUGUGAGAUUGAGCUUAACGGUGAGGUGUGUAGUGUCGUCGGAGGUAGUGGUGAGUUUGAAUUGGAUGAUUUUGAGUGAGGAAACGGAGAAUGCCGGAGGUUUUGGACGGAAUAGGAAGUAGAAACCGGCGCCGGCGAUUGUGGCGAGGAGGAGGACGGUGCAGAUGAAGAGGAGUGACCAGAAACAACAGAAGCAGAAGCACCGGCGGCAGGUGCAACGGCGGCGAUUGUGUCGGUGGUAGGCAGUUGGAGUUGGUCGGUAAGGGAUGCGAUUCGGGUUGUACAUU